rnacentral:tRNA from 4 species
CUUGUCUUAGUUUAAGGUAGAAUGAUAGUUUUGGGGAUUAUUGGUUUCUGGUAAGAAAGACUUGA